rnacentral:rRNA from 1 species
UGCCAGCAGCCGCGGUAACACGGGGGGCGCAAGCGUUAUUCGGAAUUAUUGGGCGUAAAGCGCGUGUAGGCGGUUCGUUAAGUCUGAUGUGAAAGCCCGGGGCUCAACCCCGGAAGUGCAUUUGAAACUGUCUUUCUUGAGGAUAGAUGGAGAAAGCGGAAUUCCGUAUGUAGCGGUGGAAUGCGUAGAUAUACGGAAGAACACCCGUGGCGAAAGCGGCUUUCUAAUUUAUUUCUGACGCUGAGGCGCGAAAGCGUGGGGAGCAAACAGGAUUAGAUA